rnacentral:rRNA from 1 species
GACGAACGCUGGCGGCGUGCUUAACACAUGCAAGUCGAACGGAAAGGCCCUGCUUUUGUGGGGUGCUCGAGUGGCGAACGGGUGAGUAACACGUGAGUAACCUGCCCUUGACUUUGGGAUAACUUCAGGAAACUGGGGCUAAUACCGGAUAGGAGCUCCUGCAGCAUGGUGGUGGAUGGUAAGAUUCGGCGGUUGGGGAUGGACUCGCGGCUUAUCAGCUUGUUGGUGGGGUAGUGGCUUACCAAGGCUUUGACGGGUAGGCGGCCUGAGAGGGUGACCGGCCACAUUGGGACUGAGAGACGGACCAGACUCCUACGGGACGCAGCAGUGGGGAAUAUUGCACAAUGGGCGGAAGCCUGAGGCAGCAACGCCGCGUGCGGGAUGACGGCCUUCGGGUUAUGAACCGCUUUCGCCGGUGACGAAGCGUGAGUGACGGUAAUGGGUAAAGAAGCACCGGCUAACUACGUG